rnacentral:pre_miRNA from 1 species
CAUCAAAACGUAGAAGGGACAGAAAAUAGACAGGACGACGUCUCAAAUUGAGACGUCGUCCUGUCUAUUUUCUGUCCCUUCUACGUUUUGAUU